rnacentral:lncRNA from 1 species
CAUGCAUAAUUUUGUAUAUGAAUCAACUAGGAAUUUUGUUAAAAUGCAAAUUCUUGUUAAGUAGGUCUGGUGUGAGACCUAAAAUUCUUCUUGUCUAACAACUUCUUCAGUUACGCACAUGCUGUCAUGCUCAAAGAGUCAAUUAGCCCUCUGAAUAGCCAAAGAAGACAGAAAGAGAAUCAAAGAUCUCUCCCAAUUGGGCCAAUGUUGGUGCUGUUUACUGAGAUGGAAAGUUCUAAUUGAGAUAUAGGCAUGAGGGGAGAAACAGCUUUACUUUAAGCAUAUUGACUUUGAGCCUUAGAUGCCCAUAGGAGACUUUGUGGUAGUGGUUAGAUAUAGGACCUAGUCCAGUGAGACUAAGACUGGAGCUACGUAUUCAAAAGUCAAUGGCCUUACGAUUAUAUUAAACCAUAGUUCUGGAUAUAAACUAUGAAUAGAGGGUAGAUUAAGAAGGGGUUUGCAAAUUAACAGCUUAGGCACUCUGACUUUUAUAGAGCGAGGAGAGCAGGAGGUGGCAGCAAUGAAGAAUAAGAACAGAUCAAUGAGAAUGAAGGAAAACUAAGAGAUUUGUUGUGGUGUCCUGAAAUCUAAGACCAUGGAAGCAUUUCAAGUAAGCUUUCCCCAGCUGUGCCUAUUGCAAGAUUCCAAGUGCUCUCAACCAUUGUGAUAUUUGGUGUGUGAUGAACAUUUAUAAAGGCUGCCAAGUACUUCUGGAGAAUGCUGAGAGCUUCCAGAGGGUGUCAGAAGCUUCCAGAACUAUGAAGCAAGGAGACACUCUAACUUAAAAUUUCAUCCUCUAUCUUAUCCAGGAGUGGGCAAAUUUCUUCUAUUAAUAUUAAAAUGACAUCCGCAAGCUUAUCUAUGUUUUCAUAUUUGUCCUGUAACAAAGAGGAGUAGUUAGUUCCCUGUGUUUUCUGUUAACGAUUUACCAUUUUAAUGCCCAUUUCAACUUUGCCUGUCCAAAUGUCUCAUUUUCCAUACAUUUUAUGUGUUUAUUAAUUAUGUAUACUUUUUCAAUUCACUUUUGAAAUUGUACAAUUCUUUUAUAGUUAUAACCUAUGCUACUUUUACACAUUUUUAUAUGCAAUUAACAUCCCCAAUGAGCGCAAUUCCAUUUUGGAAAAAUGGCCAGGGCAAAAAUCAGUAGAUAUAUGUUAAGUUGGUAAUGAUCUUAUAAUCAUGGCUCAUCUUAUAAUAACUAUCUAUUAAUUUCCUUUCCCCCUUAAGAAGUAUUUUCUAUUUGCAAAAAAUAAAGUUAAAGGACACAUGUGGAACU